AAAACUUUCAACAAUGGAUCUCUUGGUUCCGGCAUCGAUGAAGAACGCAGCGAAAUGCGAUAAGUAAUGUGAAUUGCAGAAUUCCGUGAAUCAUCGAAUCUUUGAACGCACAUUGCGCCCCCUGGCAUUCCGGGGGGCAUGCCUGUCCGAGCGUCAUUUCUGCCCUCAAGCACGGCUUGUGUGUUGGGUGCGGUCCCCCCGGGGACCUGCCCGAAAGGCAGCGGCGACGUCCGUCUGGUCCCUCGAGCGUAUGGGGCUUUGUCACUCGCUCGGGAAGGACCUGCGGGGGUUGGUCACCACCACAUUUUACCACGGUUGACCUCGGAUCAGGUAGGAGUUACCCGCUGAACUUAAGCAUAUCAAUAAGCGGAGGAAAAGAAACCAACCGGGAUUGCCUCAGUAACGGCGAGUGAAGCGGCAAGAGCUCAAAUUUGAAAUCUGGCCCCUUUGGGGUCCGAGUUGUAAUUUGCAGAGGAUGCUUCGGGUGCGGUCCCCGUCUAAGUGCCCUGGAACGGGCCGUCAUAGAGGGUGAGAAUCCCGUCUGGGAUGGGCGGCCGCGCCCGUGUGAAGCUCCUUCGACGAGUCGAGUUGUUUGGGAAUGCAGCUCUAAGCGGGUGGUAAAUUUCAUCUAAAGCUAAAUACUGGCCGGAGACCGAUAGCGCACAAGUAGAGUGAUCGAAAGAUGAAAAGCACUUUGAAAAGAGAGUUAAACAGCACGUGAAAUUGUUGAAAGGGAAGCGUUGUCCACCAGACUCGCCCGGGGGGGUUCAGCCGGCACGUGUGCCGGUGUACUCCUCUCCGGGCGGGCCAGCAUCGGUUUGGGCGGCUGGUGAAAGGCCCCGGGAAUGUACCACCCUCCGGGGUGCCUUAUAGCCCGGGGUGCCAUGCAGCCAGCCUGGACCGAGGCCCGCGCUUCGGCGAGGAUGCUGGCGUAAUGGUGGUCAACGGCCCGUCUUGAAACACGGACCAAGGAGUCUAACAUCUAUGCGAGUGUUCGGGUGUCAAACCCGUCCGCGCAGUGAAAGCGAACGGAGGUGGGAGCCCCUCGGGGCGCACCAUCGACCGAUCCUGAUGUCUUCGGAUGGAUUUGAGUAAGAGCAUAGCUGUUGGGACCCGAAAGAUGGUGAACUAUGCCUGAAUAGGGCGAAGCCAGAGGAAACUCUGGUGGAGGCUCGCAGCGGUUCUGACGUGCAAAUCGAUCGUC
rnacentral:rRNA from 1 species